CACGUAGGGGGCGAGCGUUGUCCGGAUUUAUUGGGCGUAAAGGGCUCGUAGGCGGCUCAGUAAGUCGGGUGUGAAACCUCCAGGCUCAACCUGGAGACGCCACUCGAUACUGCCGUGGCUAGAGUCCGGUAGGGGGAGCAUGGAAUUUCCUGGUGUAGCGGUGAAAUGCGCAGAUAUCAGGAGGAACACCAGUGGCGAAGGCGGUGCUCUGGGCCGGAACUGACGCUGAUGAGCGAAAAGCCGUGGGGG
rnacentral:rRNA from 1 species